rnacentral:piRNA from 1 species
UUCCACUUGUAUAAAGCACUU